rnacentral:rRNA from 1 species
UGGUUGAUCCUGCCAGUAGUCAUAUGCUUGUCUCAAAGAUUAAGCCAUGCAUGUCUAAGUAUAAGCAAUUUAUACAGUGAAACUGCGAAUGGCUCAUUAAAUCAGUUAUCGUUUAUUUGAUAGUACCUUACUACUUGGAUAACCGUGGUAAUUCUAGAGCUAAUACAUGCUUAAAAUCCUGACUGUUUGGAAGGGAUGUAUUUAUUAGAUAAAAAAUCAACGUCUUCGGACUCUUUGAUGAUUCAUAAUAACUUUUCGAAUCGCAUGGCCUUGUGCUGGCGAUGGUUCAUUCAAAUUUAUGCCCUAUCAACCUUCGAUGGUAGGAUAGUGGCCUACCAUGGUUUCAACGGGUAACGGGGAAUAAGGGUUCGAUUCCGGAGAGGGAGCCUGAGAAACGGSUACCACAUCCAAGGAGGGCAGCAGGCGCGCAAAUUACCCAAUCCCGACACGGGGAGGUAGUGACAAUAAAUAACGAUACAGGGCCCUUUCGGGUCUUGUAAUUGGAAUGAGUACAAUGUAAAUACCUUAACAUGAACAAUUGGAGGGCAAGUCUGGU